CCUACGGGUGGCUGCAGUGAGGAAUAUUGGUCAAUGGGCGGAAGCCUGAACCAGCCAAGUAGCGUGAAGGAUGACGGCCCUACGGGUUGUAAACUGCUUUUAUACGGGAAUAACGCGCCUUACGUGUAGGGCUUUGCAUGUACCGGAUGAAUAAGGACCGGCUAAUUCCGUGCCAGCAGCCGCGGUAAUACGGAGGGUCCGGGCGUUAUCCGGAUUUAUUGGGUUUAAAGGGAGCGUAGGCGGCAUAUCAAGCGAGCGGUAAAAUUGAGGGGCUCAACCCCUGCGAGCCAUUGAUAAUGGGUUUGUUGAGUGAGUUAUAAGUAUGCGGAAUGCGUGGUGUAGCGGUGAAAUGCAUAGAUAUC
rnacentral:rRNA from 1 species